GAAGGUCCGGGCGUUAUCCGGAUUUAUUGGGCGUAAAGCGAGCGCAGGCGGUUGCUUAGGUCUGAUGUGAAAGCCUUCGGCUUAACCGAAGAAGUGCAUCGGAAACCGGGCGACUUGAGUGCAGAAGAGGACAGUGGAACUCCAUGUGUAGCGGUGGAAUGCGUAGAUAUAUGGAAGAACACCAGUGGCGAAGGCGGCUGUCUGGUCUGCAACUGACGCUGAGGCUCGAAAGCAUGGGUAGC
rnacentral:rRNA from 1 species